rnacentral:tRNA from 1 species
GGCCUCUUAGUUUAAUGGAUAGAAUGACAGAUUCCGGUUCUGUUGGUAUGGGUUCGAUUCCCGUAGAGGUCA